UGGGUACCUGCCUUCCAGUGAGGAAUACCGGCGAGAAAUCGCCGACAAGACCGCAUGAGCUUGCGAGGGGACCUCGCAAGGAAAGCUUCGCGAGAGGCGCUGGAAGAGGGGCCUGUGGCCGAUUAGCUGGUUGGUGGGGUAACGGCUCACCAAGGCUGCGAUCGGUAGCUGGUCUGAGAGGACGAGCAGCCACACUGGGAUUGAGAACGGCCCAG
rnacentral:rRNA from 1 species